GGGUNGNUNGCCGCACGAGCGUACCCCUUGUCUUAGUUUGCCAUCGGUGUGAUGCCGAGCUCUCUGGAUAAACUGCCCAGUAUAACGGGGAGGAAGGGGGGGAUGACCUUCAAGUCAGCAUGGCCUUUAUGCCUGGGGCUACACACGUGCUACAAUGGCCGGUACAAAGGGUUGCAAUCCCGCAAGGGGGAGCCAAUCCCAAAAAACCGGCCUCAGUUCAGAUUGUGGUCUGCAAUCCGACCACAUGAAGGUGGAAUCGCUAGUAAUCGCGGAUCAGCACGCCGCGGUGAAUACGUUCCCGGGCCUUGUACACACCGCCCGUCACACCACGAAAGUCAGCUGUACCUGACGUCGCUGGAGCUAACCCGCAAGGGAGGCAGGUGCCCACGGUAUGGUUGGUGAUUGGGGUGAAGUCGUAACAAGGUACCCGUAGGGGAACCUGCGGCUGGAUCA
rnacentral:rRNA from 1 species